rnacentral:rRNA from 1 species
UACGUAGGGUGCAAGCGUUAAUCGGAAUUACUGGGCGUAAAGCGUGCGCAGGCGGUUUUGUAAGUCUGACGUGAAAUCCCCGGGCUCAACCUGGGAAUUGCGUUGGAGACUGCAAGGCUAGAAUCUGGCAGAGGGGGGUAGAAUUCCACGUGAUGAGCAGUGAAAUGCGUAGAGAUGUGGAGGAACACCGAUGGCGAAGGCAGCCCCUGGGUCAAGAUUGACGCUCAUGCACGAAAGCGUGGGGAGCAACAGG